rnacentral:rRNA from 1 species
GUCGAGAAUAAUUCACAAUGGACGAAAGUCUGAUGGUGCAACGCCGCGUGGAGGAUGACGGUCUUCGGAUUGUAAACUCCUGUCAUCCGGGAGUAAGACCUGGCUGUGAAUAGCAGACAGGGUUGAUAGUACCGGAAGAGGAAGGGACGGCUAACUUCGUGCCAGCAGCCGCGGUAAUACGAAGGUCCCGAGCGUUGUUCGGAAUCACUGGGCGUAAAGGGAGCGUAGGCGGCGUGGUAAGUCAGAUGUGGAAUCCCGGGGCUCAACCCCGGAAAUGCAUCCGAUACUGCCGUGCUAGAGGAUUGGAGAGGUAGCUGGAAUUCUUGGUGUAGCAGUGAAAUGCGUGGAGAUCAAGAGGAACACUCGUGGCGAAAGCGAGCUACUGGACAAUAUCUGACGCUGAGGCUCGAAGGCCAUGGUAGCGAAAGGGAUUAGAUACCCCAGUAGUCC